rnacentral:rRNA from 1 species
UCCGGUUGAUCCUGCCGGACCCCACUGCUAUCGGGGUGGGACUAAGACAUGCUAGUCGUGCGCCUCCAAGCCACGGUGGAGGCGCGGCGCACAGCUCAGUAACACGUGGCUAACCUACCCUUGGGACAGGGACAACCCCGGGAAACUGGGGCUAAUCCCCGAUAGGUGAGGACUCCUGGAAUGGGUCCUCGCUGAAAGGGCGUCUAGACCAUGCUUCUAGACGCUGCCCAAGGAUGGGGCCGCGGCCGAUCAGGUUGUUGGUGAGGUAACGGCUCACCAAGCCUAAGACCGGUACGGGCCGUGAGAGCGGGAGCCCGGAGAUGGACACUGAGACAAGGGUCCAGGCCCUACGGGGCGCAGCAGUCGCGAAACCUCCGCAAUACGCGAAAGCGUGACGGGGCCACCCCGAGUGCCGUCCGCUGAGGACGGCUUUUCCCCAGUGUAGACAGCUGGGGGAAUAAGGGGAGGGCAAGUCGGGUGUCAGCCGCCGCGGUAAUACCCGCUCCCCGAGUGGUGGGGACGCUUAUUGGGCCUAAAGCAUCCGUAGCCGGCUGGACAAGUCCCCUGUUAAAUCCAGCGAUUUAAUCGCUGGACUGCGGGGGAUACUGUCCAGCUAGGGGGCGGGAGAGGCCGGCGGUAUUCCCGGGGUAGGGGUGAAAUCUUAUAAUCCCGGGAGGACCACCAGUGGCGAAGGCUGCCGGCUGGAACGCGCCCGACGGUGAGGGAUGAAAGCUGGGGGAGCGAACCGGAUUAGAUACCCGGGUAGUCCCAGCUGUAAACGAUGCGGGCUAGGUGUUGGCACGGCUACAAGCCGUGUCAGUGCCGCAGGGAAGCCGUUAAGCCCGCCGCCUGGGGAGUACGGCCGCAAGGCUGAAACUUAAAGGAAUUGGCGGGGGAGCGCCGCAAGGGGUGAAGCUUGCGGUUUAAUUGGAGUCAACGCCGGA